UACGGAGGGUGCAAGCGUUAUCCGGAUUCACUGGGUUUAAAGGGUGCGUAGGUGGGCAGGUAAGUCAGUGGUGAAAUCCCCGAGCUUAACUUGGGAACUGCCGUUGAUACUAUCUGUCUUGAAUAUCGUGGAGGUUAGCGGAAUAUGUCACGUAGCGGUGAAAUGCAUAGAGAUGACAUAGAACACCAAUUGCGAAGGCAGCUGGCUACACGGUAAUUGACACUGAGGCACGAAAGCGUGGGGAGCAAACAGG
rnacentral:rRNA from 1 species